rfam:Salmo salar isolate Sally breed double haploid chromosome ssa15, whole genome shotgun sequence.
UCCCGUGUGGCUCAGUUGGUAGAGCAUGGUGUUUGCAACACCAGGGUUGUGAGUUCGAUUCCCACGGGGGGAA